GUGAACGUUGGCGGUGCGUCUAAUACAUGCAAGUCGAGCGCAACUUCGGUUGAGCGGCGGACGGCUGAGUAACACGUUGGUAACUACCCCCCACUCAGGGAUAAGCAUUGGAAACGAUGUCUAAUACCGGAUGGUCCCGAAAGGGUAAAGAUUUUUCGGUGGGGGAGGUGCCUGCGGUCUAUCACGCUUGUUGGUAAGGUAAUGGCUUACCAAGGCUAUGACGGAUAACUGGUCUGAGAGGAUGAUCAGUCAGAGGGAAACUGAGACACGGUUCCCACUCCUACGGGAGGCAGCAGUAAAGAAUCUUCCACAAUGGGCGAAAGCCUGAUGGAGCGACACCGCGUGCAGGAUGAAGGCCUUAGGGUCGUAAACUGCUUUUCUGGGGGAAUAAUUUUGAAGGUACCCUAGGAAUAAGCACCGGCUAACUCCGUGCCAGCAGCCGCGGUAAUACGGAGGGUGCAAACGUUACCCGGAAUCAUUGGGCGUAAAGCGUCCGCAGGCUGCGUAGUAAGUCAGAUAUUAAAUCCCAAGGCUCAACUUUGGGGCUGUGUUUGAAACUACUACGCUAGAGUCUUGGAGAGGUGAGUGGAAUUCUACAUGUAGGGGUAAAAUCCGUAGAUAUGUAGAGGAACACCAAAAGCGAAGGCAGCUCACUGGCCAAGUACUGACGCUCAUGGACGAAAGCGUGGGGAGCAAACGGGAUUAGAUACCCCGGUAGUCCACGCCGUAAACGAUGAUCACUCGAUGUUGGAGGUUCGACCCCUUCAGUGUCUAAGCUAACGCGAUAAGUGAUCCGCCUGGGGAGUACGGUCGCAAGAUUAAAACUCAAAGGAAUAGACGGGGACCCGCACAAGCGGUGGAGCAUGUGGUUUAAUUCGACGAUACGCGAAGAACCUUACCUGGCCUUGACAUACCAAGAACCUAAUAGAGAUAAAAGGGUGCUAGUUUACUAGAACUUGGAUACAGGUGCUGCACGGCUGUCGUCAGCUCGUGUCGUGAGAUGUUAGGUUAAGUCCUGCAACGAGCGCAACCCUCGUGUUUAGUUACUAACAGAUUAUGCUGAGGACUCUAGACAUACUGCCUGGGCAACCAGGAGGAAGGUGAGGACGACGUCAAGUCAUCAUGGCCCUUACGGCCAGGGCUACACACGUGCUACAAUGGGGUAUACAAAGAGCCGCAAUACCGCGAGGUGGAGCAAAUCUCAUAAAAUAUCUCCCAGUUCGGAUUACACUCUGCAACUCGAGUGUAUGAAGUUGGAAUCGCUAGUAAUCGCAGAUCAGCAAUGCUACGGUGAAUACGUUCCCGGGUCUUGUACUCACCGCCCGUCACACCAUGGGAGUUGAAUUCAUUCGAAGCGGGGAUGCUAAAAUAGCUACCUUCCACAGUGGAUUUAGUAACUAGGGUGAAGUCGUAACAAGGUAACC
rnacentral:rRNA from 1 species